CCGUGGGAGCAUGGCGGGGGGCGCUAUCCCCUUUUGACUGAUAGAAAGCAUCUCUCUUUUGUCUCUCCUGACCGAACCCGCCAAAAAAAUCACAAUAGAAUAAGUUGUUCUUGCCGGGAGAGUAGCGUCUGAGACAUCUUUAUCUGAGGCGUUCCUCGGCGCGGAAGUUACCGUUUAUAGAAUGCAAGCAAGGUAGCUUGCCUGCCAAGCCGAUAGGCGAAAGGGCGAACUGAUCGACUUGCAUGUGUUAAGCAUAUAGCUAGCGUUCCUUAGUCUCAAUCACAGACCUUUUUUCCAUUUUAGGUGAACGAAGGUUACCGGCUCUACGACCUUGCAAGGCACUACAGUAGAGCUCGAGGAACGCCUGCCACUUUCUCAAUCGAAAAUGUCAACUGUGAAGAUUCUCACGUUUCUUUAUGUAAGUUCAGGAUUUCUUUUCGUUGAUCGGAUCGAGCACAUAGUAAGAAACCCUAAGUCAAUUCAUUCUCUUUGGCUGAUGUCAAUCUUCAUCAAGACAGCUGACCGAGUCGAAACCUACUGCUCAAGUCUGAUGAAUGCCCCGUUCAUGAGCUGGUAAAGUCGAGAUCAAUCAAGGGGAUCGGAGACUGGACGUCUAUUUCACUAUCCCGCUUUUGUCUAAGAAAGUCAGAUGCCUAUGCGGGAUCAUUAUGAACAGGUUACAAGGCGUUCCUCGUAGCUAUCAGAGGCAAAGGUGGUGACCCACCAUAUUUUUGACAGCUGUCUCGGUUGUUUGAGUUUUUAGAUUGUGGAACAGGGCCCACAUUUACAUAUUUUAGGUGACCUAGCCCUACAGUUGGCACUACGAAGUCGAGAGCUGCAGAUCGACCUCUGCCCGCUGCCCUUACCUACUCAAAUCCCAAAACGAAAAGAAUAGGCUUAAGCAUCUGGCUUACCGGUAAUCUCCCAUUCCCAACAUCGAGAGACUUUAAUAACUAUAGCAUGCUAGAAAAGGGGAGUUUAGGUGCUUAGACCUAUAGCCCGAAAUCUUCAACUUCUUAUAAGCCGACAUAACAUAUUCAACCACGGAUUAAGUCGACAUAACAUCUUCACGUUCAGUCAGGGUUUUCCAAUUGGAUUACCUUGCCGGAAUUGGAUAGAAAUAGGGCUAGACGCGCCGGAGGAACCCCUUCUGCUCGAGCUCGCCGUAGGAAACUUUCCCCAAGGUUUCAAGAUCCAUCUUUCAGGUUCCUUUCAAGCUGUAAGGCUCGCUCUGUUCUCAAGGCUUGGUAGCUCUUCACAAAGUCCUCCUUUUUCCACGAGUUGGAACCGUGCCGACACAUUUUCAUAUCGUCCCCCAGUAAUAGAGUGGUAGGUUUCUUCCCUUUCUAUUCUGUAUGACGCCUGAAUCCUUCAGCUACAUCUAAAGAAUCCCAACCAUUACACUAGAAGAAGAUAGGCAACUACCUUGACCAACCAAAACAAAUGAAGAAAGGAAGGGACGAAAGUGACUCGAGCAAAGCGAGAGGGAUGAAAUGAAUAAAGGGUUAUCUUGGAUUCCGACUUGGAAGCUUGAAUAGUGAUAGAUAAGACAACGCAACUAGAUUUCACGUCUUUUCUUGAGAGUGCCUUUCCAUCGCAAGUAACUGAGCUAUCUAGGGUUCAAAACCUGGGGAAGUCACUUCAACAGAAGCCUUACCAAAGUCAAGAGAUUGGGCUCUUAUAGCUAUAGUUGGAGCUUUUACAAACAGGUUUAGAGUAGGCAAUUCCUAGUUCAAGUUUCAGCUUCAUAGCUAUAUAUUUCCUUUCUUAACUGGGUUUUUGAACUUCACAUAUAGCCCAUCAGCUUGUGACUUCGCACUCUCAGUUUUGAGAUUGGGAAUCAACAGAACUGCCCUUUCUUAACUUAAUUAUAAAGGGUAGCUUAGCUGGUUAGAUUUACUGAAGGUAAUUCAAUCGCUGAACGUUGAUAAUAGCUUUCGAGAAGAGAUCCUGACUCUCCAGCUAGUUCAAACUUCCCCGAUUAGUAAUGCUCUCACCCUGGGGACAUAUCUCACCUUUGUCAGCAAAACAGUAGAACCAUCUUCAUUUCUCAGUCUCACACUUCCUAUUCCCUUCACUGUUGACAUGGUGUCAUUUGCCAUCUUUACUUUUCCACUACCAGCAUCUGAUAAACUCACAAACCAUUCUCUUCUUCCGAAAGAACAACCUGUGUCAAGUAUCCAGACUUCCCUUUGUUAGGAAUCCCUAAUUGAAAGUGAGAAGGGACCUACACUAGUAUAUAAAGCUUUCACCCUCUCCACUCAUUGCCAAUUGGUUUUGAGUUGGAAGCCCAUGAACACUCGCAUGGUAUCAAGAGCCAUGGAGGGUUCUCUUGAGUCUUAUCCUUUUCCUUCCAAUAUCAAUAUUACUAGUUGAGUCUCCAUUAAACUCAACGAUCGGAACUAUCUUCUAUACGACGAAGGAAGGGUGCGAUUGAGUCCGCUGAACUUGGGCGAGAGAUGUGACUUUGAGGAACGCCAAAGCUCUGGUGUCUACGAGAAGCUUCAUGAGUCAAACAAUUGAGGAAGCCGAUGCUUAUACUUGGGUAGAGAAUCUCGCACAAAGCAAUGGGAGUCAUGGCUCGGAUUAUGAUCGGACUACAAGGAAAAAUAAUGAUGAAUCUCAUCAUGCCAUCCAAGAGCUGAAUGCAAAAAUGGAUAAGAUAUUGAAGCGUGACCAAAAUAAAAGAUGACGGUAAACUCUUGUGAAGAGUAUGGUGGAUAUCAAGGGUACCAAGACUUUUGUGUUGAAGGGUAUGAGGAGCCACAAGAAGAGUAGACGUGGCAGGCAUUGAUCGGUUCAUUGGGACCGGGCUAGCAAAGGUGCGAAUCCUUUUACGCCACACCAUGUCACAUCUGCCUUCAUAGCUCAACGGAUAGAGCGCUCACCCGCUAAGUUAGGGGUUCUUGGGAAUAAGUCUGCCUUUGUUUUUUACACGUCAACAUCCCCUGAUUGAUAAAGGGAGUGAGCACUUCACUGAAGUAUGUGGAAGUGGUGGGAUAUCGCGAAUCGAGAUGUAGAUGAAGUCGUCUUUGAGUCAUGUAGAAUGCGAUACUUUAACGACACGAGACCCUGAAAAGGGAUUCAGUAGGCGUGGAGUUCGAGAUUGCCAUAAUGGAUGAGCUUUUUGGCUCAUUGUGCUUGCGAGACGAUCCUCGGAUUGGUUCUUUUCAAAGUCUGUUGGGAAGACGUAAACGCCAAUCUUCCCUGCCCGAUCAAUCUCAACACUGUUUUGGCCCCCCCUAAUACCUAAUACAAAGUCAGAGAUGGGGAAUCCUUUAGUUUAGAGACAAGUCUCAAAAUCGACUUGCAGGAAGGAUAGCCUACACCCUCUUUUCUGGACCUUCUUGUGAAAGUUUUCGGUAAGCUUUCACAGAGCAGAUGUUGUUCUCGACUGAAUCAACAAUGUUUUCCUUUUCCGCUAUAAUUCAAAGGCGUUCAUCUCCUUUUAGUCGACUAACUGGCGUUCCUCAAUUCAGAGACUGAGCCGGCUACCGUACUUCAUGCUUGCAGGAACAGCAGCACUACUAGGCAAUUAAUUAGCUGCCCCAUUCAUGCGCCCUCUAAACAACGAAAGCUACAACAUCAACGAAGGGAAUAGGCUUGCUUCUUCCUAGCGAUCGGGCGUUCCUCCCUCUUCCUGUUCACCGCCGGUUCGCCCACUGCUGCUUUCAUAGAUGUCGUGCGACGGGGUUCCUCCGCUAAUGGAUGCCUAUUCCGUUCUCCUGCUCCUGCUCCAGCUCAAGAGUUCAAACGGACAGAAGAGAGUCCUGCUACCGAAAAAAAAAGUGCAUAAUAUUGGAUUCAAACAAAGGGGAUUUAUUCACGAAUACGAUUUCUAUUGAUUGAAAGCUUUCCUAUUACUGAUGGCAGGCGGGCGAGACGGAGACCGCCGAAGAAGUGCCUUGACGCGCCGCAGCCACUACUUUGACUCCUUUUAUGCAAUUAUGUUAUGAACUCCACGGAACUUUCUCGAUUCCAACGCAACUUAUCCUUUUGGAGCUGACGUAAUAAACUAGGCGAGCCUCCCAACGAAGCCAACAUAAAUCCUAUCCGAAUAAAAAAAAUAAAAGGCAGUUUCAUUAUGGUGGUAUACCAACCUCCUGUUCUGGAACUUCCAGUUCCAAUCGAAGCAUAUAGAUCCGUAAAUAGAUUUGUAUGUAUAGCCACUUCAGCCGUGCUCGUCUUUUCUCGAAAGUAUUUUUUUCUGGGAACAUGGUUAACCAAAAAUGAUUAUGUUUGCGAUUCUUCAUCCACCAAUGCAUAAAAUGCUCAAGUUUUCCAUUCUUAUAUGAGGCCGGAAAGUUUAUUAGCAAGAGGUCGGCAUGAAGUGAUUCAUCAUGCUCAAACAUGAGCCGAUCGUUCGUUAGGGACGGUUUACAGAUCAUCAAAUUCCCACAAAUGGAAUGAGAAGUGGGUCCAUGUAAAUGAUCGAGACCUCGCAAACAACAACGCUCCUUCCCCAUAUGGAGUUCGGAACCCAAAGGCAAUUGUUGAGUGAACUGUAUCUUCUUUGUGUUAGUUGACCUCAGCCGCACCAUUACUGCUGGGGUGGGGCUCGGCCUCCAAACCGUACGUGGGACGAGUUUCUGCCUCAUACAGCUCGGGUCGAAGACCGGGGGAAGUUUAGGAGAGAUGAGGAGACCCAGCAGCUGCCGGUCGGGGCGGGGGUAAGCUUGUGAAGAAGCGAGCUUAUCCCCCCAAAAAAACCAAUCCUAUAGCGCUAGCGCUUCGCGUUCUUUCUAUUUUAUCUCAUUUCAUUCCGGGAUAGGCUAAUAAUACUAAUCUAAUAAGUGAAGUAGUCGUCGUCUGACCAAUUGACUCGGACACCAGACCGCUCGUGCCCGCCCAUUCUGUCUCGCCCUAAAUGGAAUGGCUUUCUUAGUUACGCUGCACCCCGCGACCCGAGUCCCCACGUCCGCUCUUCUCCGCCCGCAACCUAAAAAGUUGGCUUUGCCAACACAACAUUAGGGCUGUCCCCUUCAUUCUAUGCCGACCCCGGCCCGGAGCUGGCUUUUUGGGAAGCCCAUUCCCACCGCGCUCAUGGCCCGGCUGGCCUGCCAGAGGUAGUGGGAAUUAUCCCGUUCCCUGGUCAAAGACUUGGUUGGAUGCGGGAUCUACUCCACGAGGAGCGGUACGGACGUAGAUGAUAUCAUCACGACCUCUCUUUUCGUACCGCUAGGGAUGCUUAACGCCACUUCGCCAACUAGCGUUACCCGCGCUUUCGUAUCUCUCAGUGUGGUCAGCACUGGGUGUUUCCGAGCAGCGAAGCUUACACUCAUUCGCAUUAGUUCAUCCAAAGUUCCUUACCCUUAUGCACGAAUUUUUGAAUAAGCCAUCUUCCUAUCAAGGUUAAGGAGUCAACUGAGCAUCUCAGCGGCGGGAUUGAAUACCCGGAUCGAAUCAGAGUUCACGCCGCCCGCCCUGAACAAAUAGGAGGCGUGGGCCACAGGUCGCACAUAAGCUGCCGGGUCGCACGACAGAAGAACACCCAACAUACAGAUGCACACUCCUUCAUGUGAAAUAUUCAUCUUCAUUGGAACCUUUUGGUAGUAGUCGUGACCAACAGCCAUAGCCAUCAGCUGUCGGCUCCUUGGUAAGGCGAGAGCUUCAAGCCCGAUUUCUGGUGGCACGCCCCCCACACAAGCACCACCCAACUCAGGCGGGACGGGGAAAGCUAUAGGCCCAAAACCUUCGACCCUUCUUUCUAAAUCUAAAUGGGGGUGCCCGGAGCACCUCAUCUUGUCAUUUCAUCGUUGCUCAUUCCCGUUCGGCCGAAGUGUUUGGCCUUUCCUUCUCCGCGCCCGCUCACGCUUCGCUGACCUAUCGCGUGCUAAAAAGAGGAAAGUACGAAAGAAUAGUAAACAGAGCACACCGCAGAAAGAUUCUAAAUAUGAGAAGUCCCCCUUGGAUUCGAGAAGACGGAAAUGAAGAACGGGAAUGAAAAAAAAAUAAGGCCUUUCUAGCUCUAGUUUCGGAUGAGCUUCUCCCAAUUAUCUCUGGUAAUAGAAUAGGGCGACUUGCUCUGACCAAGACUCCACUUUUUGCUCCGUCCAUAGAGCGUAUGAUUUUCCUGGAAUGUAGAUAGACCAAAAGAGGGAAUGAAGAGAUAGGAAUAGGAAUUAUAGUACCAUUGGAAAAAGGGGCACCCGUGGGAACAUCUCUACUGACGAACCAUUUCAAUAGUACGGGUGCUGCCGUGACACAAGGCACGACCAUAAAAAGAAUCAAAAAGAAAAAGUUAUGUAGUUGGACCAUCUGCUCUAUCCGUUCGAGUUUGGCUUCUCUAAAGAAGAGAAGGCGCUAAAAAUGAAAAUGUUCGCAAGGCAUACCGAAAGGAUACCAAUGAAGCCAACCAUUAAUGACUAGUUCGAACACCAGGAGCGGAAGGAGGGACUUGAACCCUCAACCUUAGCCUUGGCAAGGCUAUGCUCUACCAUUAAGCUAUUUCCGCCAGCUAUGGUAGUGGCGACAGCACUACUGAGCAAUUCACGUAUUACUUGAUACGGACGACUUCCGUUUUUAUGCCGGACCACGCUCUUGACCUCCGAUCGAGCUACGAGCACGAGUAGGUAGGCGGCUAGGGGGGGGGGGCUGGGCUGGGAAGGAAGGUUUUUUUUCCCUCUUUUUGCUUCGCGCCAGAUGAGAUGAUGAUUAGUGGGUAAGGUCCAGUGUGUGCUCUUGAUCACAAUCACUAAAGAGGCGGGCUGGCUGGGCUGCCUUUUCAAUCAAUCUCCAGCCGCUCAGCGCCACUAUUGGAGUUGUAAGGAGUGAAGGUCUCGAGUCGAGCUGGGGCCUCAUUUAAUUCUCGUAACGUGCACCACAAGACCAGACAAGUGACUCCCUCGCCUCGCAGCUAGGCAUCUGUCUUUCUUUUUUUUAAGUUGAGUCAUUUCCUUUCCUAAGACGGCUCCUCUUAUUCUACGAUAAUCCAAGCAAAUGGGAUGAAAUGGUGACUAGGUGAGAAUCCGCGUUACACGCGGGUGUUAAUUUUGUACUUUUCUUUUUAAGUAUUUGGUGUAUAUACUUUUGGAGAUAUAUUUUUUGGGCAUUGAAAAAUAGUGAGUUAAACAUAUUAUACUUAAGAAAUUAUCAUGCCGAAUUUGAAUGACUUAUUCUAUGAUAUUCCAUAUAAUUGUUCUAUUUAAAUGAGAAUUCAAAGAAAUUUAUCCCACACAUUUGUAAGCAAUUUAUACCAGUUAUCCAAGACUCUCAUUCCUUGAUCAACUUCACGGAAAAUGUGGAUUUCCUAGGAGGAUGACUAUAACUUUCAAGAGUUUGCAUCUUGGACUUUCAACGUCUCAGUGAUUAUCAAAGCACCUGCAUUCCACUUGGGGUCAUUUAGAGACAUUAAUAUUUACUCAUUAAGUCUUUCAUCCACCUUCGCAAAUUUUUAGUCUCGACUCUUGGUAUUCUGAAAUCUGAUGAACAUUCUUACUUCUAUCUAUUCAGAAACUGAAUGUAGUAGUAGUACUAUAAGAGUUAGAUUGAAUAACGCUUACAAAUUUUAGGCAUGGUGUACGUAAGUAUGAAAAUCCUCCUUCAAUCUGCAUGAAUAGAGAGCAUUUCUCAGAUUUUGAGGUAGUUAAUUAAGACAUGUUUCCUAAUAAUAGAUCUCAAUGAGAAAGCUCAAUCAAUCACCUGCGCAUCAGUGUCUUUAGAAUUUUUUACUCUCUUAUUUCUUUCAUUGCUUAUCUUGAAUAAUGAUGAUAAAUCACGAUAUUUCAAUAGUCAAGUUUAAGCUAUAGCUUUUACCCAAAAAAAAGGUUAAACCCGAAGCCAUAAGAACAAACACAAGUCAUCAUAACACAAGUCCGGACAAGAGCAUUGGCGUAGUUUAGCUUUCUAGAAGUGCCUCUUUACAGCUACAAACAAUACGAAUGCUAACUCGAAAUGCUUUGCACAGAUAGUACAAUGGAUGAAGUAAUAGCAUUGUACAUUUGAAUCUUCAUACCUUUUCUUGAUUUCAUAUGUAAAUUCAUGUUCUUAUUGAUUUUCUAUAUGAAAUAAACCAAAAGCUAGCUAGCGGAGGAGUGGAAAAUUUUCAAUAACAAGGAAAAGGCAGAAGCGACUAACCUUGAGGGAUGAAGAACGAAUGAUGGUGCAGACUCUUACGUCGGAACCGAAUCAUAGGAAGAUUGGUGUUGUAUGCAGUCUCCAUAUAGGGGUCAAAUUAGCAUGGAAAACCAACACAUAACAUGGUUAAAAAAAGUGAAUUAAAAAGAGAAUCAAAUUGCAGGUUUGAGUUUGCACAUAUAUUGUAAUGAAAGAAUUCAGUUAGCAUAUCUACCUGUUUCGGUAUCUUAGAUUGAAUCAGCUCGGAAAUGAGGAGACAUCCACUUGGAUUUCACAAACUCUGCUCUCCUCCAUGGCGCCACAUGUAGGCUUUUAUUCUGGUAGUUCUUUGCUGCAGGCACAAUCUCUGAUUGUCAUCAUAAUUCAAUGUCUGUCAAUACUAUUUCACCUCUGAUUAUCACAUGUACAUACUAAUAUUCCCUGUUUCAUUUCAUAAAACAGGCACUAUAUUGUUAGGCUUCAUAGCAAUCUAUUCAAAGAGAUAUGGAAAGGACAAUGUGUGCAAACAACCCAUCACACUGUAAGACUCUCUGCCAGAAACGUAAAAGUGGAUUAUAUAAGUCUCUUCUCGUUCUCUCCUUUUGCAUCUCAUAACAUGCAACCAAAACAGAAGCAAGAUUUCGAGUUUAACUAUUAGAGAUUUAUAGUGUACCAGCUGGACAAGAAGUCGAUUUCCCCGAGACAGAUUUGCAUAGAGACACAUCAUAUCAUAUUCGCUAGAAUCCUUUAGAAUCGGCCACAUUAAUAAAGGAUGACUCGUCCUUAAGCUUUCAAGUUCUUAUUUGUUUCCACAAUCUUUGUCGCAACACUCCUACAACGGACCAAAUUCUACAAAUUCAAUUUUCUUAUAUAAGCUAAUCUGUUUUCCCUUGAUCCAACAAACGUAGAGUCAUGAAAAAUUGAUGAAUCAUACCUUUAGGAUUUAAAAAGCUUCGCCAUUGUCAUCGACGAUGAAAUGCAGAACCAUCUUCGCUGAAUUACUUCUUGAAAGUUUUGUAGAAGCUUUCUUACAGGAGAAUUAAAAAGGGAUGACAAAUUCAUCACCCAUAAUUAUUAAUCCAACAGAAGUUGUACAGGCAACAGAAAAACGAAGGUUUCAGAGAAAUUGGAAUUCCGUUUGGAAAUUGCAAAACGCUUAAGAAAUAAAAAAAAAAGGAAGCGCAAGAGUGGAAUUUGGGUGUACACGUGGCAGUCUUUCAUGUGCUGACGUGGCACAAAUCUGGAGAAAGUUACCCAAGUUUUAUAUUAUAGACUAGGAGAGAACCUGCGCGUAUACGCGGUUUUAUUUAAUUUAUAUUUUAAAUUAUACAUUUUAAAAACUUUUAUUAAAUUUUAUUUUUAUUAUAAAUAUUUUUGCCUUUAAAAUAUUUAUAUUUUCUUUGAUUUUUUAUAACAUAUUAUUUGUAAUUAUUAUACACCAGUUGUAAUAAAGAAUUAAAAACCUAAUAUUUAAUUUCUGUAUAAAAAUAUAAUAGUUCACAUAUUUUUAUAAGUUGAAUACUAGAGAGCAAUAUUUAUUUGUUCUUCCAUCUUCAUAUUUUUUUAUUGUUGUAAAUCCUACUAAUAUAAUAUUUGUCAACUUUCUCAAUAUACAAUUUUGAGUUUUUUUGUUAUAUAUAUUUUAUUGAUUCCUGGUUUUUUUGUACAAAAAAAACAAUUUAUGACAUUUUUAUAUAUCCAUUCUUCUUUUUACUAUUAUUUUUUAUAUUUUUUAUCUUUUUAAUCAUUUAUUAAUUUUUAUGUUUUAUAAAUUUAUUAGUUAGAGUUUUACAUAAUAUUAUUUGAAAUUUCUUAAUAUAUUCAGUUUUAUAAUUUUUUUCACUUGCAUUAAAAUUUAAUUAUUUUUUAGUUUAAAAAUGAAAUUUAAAUCAUUUAACAAAAGAAAAUAGAAUGGUGCAUUUAAAAAGUUUUGUAUUAUAUAAUAUUUAUAAGUUGUAUUAUAUUUAAAUUAAAUUUUAAUUAGUUUAUUAUAUAAAUUUAUUUAUAUACAUAUUAUUUAUUUAUAUUCUUUAAUGUGUUUCUUUAAAAUUCAUUAAUUAUUUUUUAAUUAAGAUUGUAAAUGGACAUGUGUCACUCUCUCCAAUGCUGAUGUGGCAUUCAGAUGGAGAAAGUUGAUUGUAUUAUAUAUACUAAGUGAAUAUCCGCACGUUACGUGUAGGUUUUUCUUUUCAAAAUUUUUAAACUUUUUUUUAUAUUUUUAUAAAAAUUAAUAUAAUCAUUACUUGUUACCUAUUACUUGUUAAUAUUUUAUUCUAAAAAAUUAUAAAAUAUUAAUACAUAUUGAAUAUUAUUUAAUAAUUUAAAGUUAUAUUAAGAUUAAAAAAUAUCAUUCAAAAACUUUUAAUUAGUUAUAACAUAAAUUUUUGUUUAACAUUUACAGAAAUAUUAAUUGAUAGUCAAUUAAUUUAAAAAAUAAAAUUUAUAUAAUCAUCAUUUCAUUUGUUACUUGUCAGUAUUUUAUUAUAAAUAAUUUUAAAAAAAUAAUUUAAAAUACAUCUUGAAUAUUAUUAAGUAAUCUAAAUAUUAUUAAGUAAUCUACAAUUAUAUAAAAAUUAAAUACAUAUCUAUCAAUAUUUUUAAUUAGUUAUAACAUAAAUUUUUGUUUAACAUUAAUAUAAAUUUUAAUUAAGAGUCAAUUAAUAAACCAAACUUUUCAUAUUCUUUAAAUGUUUUAAAAUUUAAUAUUAAAAUUUAUUAAUUAAAAUUUAAAGACAGAUGUCAAUCUAUCCUAUGCUGAUAUGUCAAUGAUAUGCUAAAAGUUGAGCAACUUUUUUAUAUAUAAGAUAUUAUGUUGUUUUAGUAUAAUAAAGGGCCAAAAAUAAAAAAUUUGUGUUUCCGGUUUAGCCUCUCUCAACAUGUUGAAUCCAUGAUGGACGGACACCUACCCAAAUCUUUUUACCACUGGCCCAACCCAACGUUGGUAAAUUAAAUAUGAAUGUUUAAUGUUUAAGAAACUUGCAGGCCUUUCAUCUCUUAUAAGUGGAGCAACACCAAUAGCAAUAUAUUUUGUGAAAUUUGUAAAGUGACCGAGUAUAUAAAAAUAUCGACUCCAGGGUGUCUAGUUAUAUUUCUUUUUAGAGAGUUUUUAUCCUCUCUCUCUCUUCUCUCAUCUCCAUCUUUGAGAAGAGAGAGAGUUUUUCUCUCUUUUUUUGAUGUAUAUACUUCCGAUUAAUAUCGGAUCUUCCUUCCGUGUAUAAUGGAUAAUAAUUUCGACUUGAUCGGAUUUGUUUUAUUCCGUUUAUCAGAGUUCUUUUUCUUCUAUGUUUGAUUCCUUCUUCUUAUGUAGUAAAAUCCAACACCAAUCCUUAGUGGAGUGAAGGAUUUUAUCAAAUUAGAGGAAUCUUUGAUCUUCUUGUGUUAAAGUUAAGGUUUUCUGAUUUAUCGGAUGUUUUAUGCCCAUUCUCCUCUACAAUUGGUUCCUCUUGUAUAUGAGGCGGUGGUGAUUGGAUCUGGAGGUAAGAGUUGGAAGUCUUCUUCUUCAAUUACUAGUAUCAUCUUUUCUGGGCUGGGAUUGGAAUCUCCCUAAGUCCCCUAUUUUAAAGCCUUCUUCAAGGUAUGGGUGACAUGUCCUGAGUAUAGAUGAUUGGCGAUGAUUCAAAUGAAGGAUUAGAGUUUCUGCUCAAUUACUCUCUGGAUCUUAUUGAGGAGGAAACAAUAGGUGAAGAAGCAGCAAUUUGAGGAGGAUGAUAGAUCUGAUUGGAGUUAACCUAUGGUUUUGAACUCUUCGGAUUAUCGAUUUUCCGGCGAAGCUCUGUAUCGUCGAUGAGAUCGGCGGCAUCUUCUAACCAUUAAUCGGCGUUCACCCCAAUUAUGCUGCGUGUGUAACACGUGUUCUUUAAUUAUCGAUCCUUAUCUUUUAUUGUGGGCUAUAUAUGGGUUGAUAUUUUGGGCUUUAAUGUGUAAGGAUUGGGGCCUCAAAUCUUGCUGUAAUUUGCUUAUUGUUGGGCUUUCUUUAAUAAAAGAUUGGACGACAAAAAAAAAAGUUAUAUUUCUUUUUUUUAUGGAAAAAUAAAACUACAGACGAUUUUAUUAUGAAAACAGCGAAGUUUACAAGUCAAACACAGAGACAAUAAAAUAUGAAACUUUAUUCCCAUUGUUUGGUCCUAAUAUAUCCUGCCCCUUUAGUAUAUUUAAGGCUCUUAUUUCAUUACAAAUGAUACAGAUGAGACUUCUUUUUCGUUAAGUGUGAGAAUCUCAAGCUGAAACUCAGACAAAACCUACAAAGUCAAUAAAAAUCCGGAGUUUUCUUACCACUACAUAUACGGAUAACCAUCAUAACUGAAAUCGCAGUAGACUCUCACUGGGGGAGCACUCGAAUUAUGACCUAGACCCACACAGCGAAUCCUAACAACCAUUGGAUCAAGAUAAGGUAGUUAUACGGAGAAGACCUACACCCUCCACCGUAUCCUCGGCCGUGUCCGCCGUCUCCUCCGUAGCUCUGUUGAUCAGGGUGCAGUGUCUCCUCACUCUCUGACUUCA
rnacentral:lncRNA from 1 species